rnacentral:rRNA from 1 species
CCUGCCCUUAGGACGGGGAUAAACCCGGGAAACUGGGUAUAAUACCCGAUAGGUCUCGAUUGCUGGAAUGCAUCGAGAUUUAAAGCUCCGGCGCCUAAGGAUGGGUCUGCGGCCUAUCAGGUAGUAGUGGGUGUAGCGUACCUACUAGCCUACGACGGGUACGGGUUGUGAGAGCAAGAGCCCGGAGAUGGAUUCUGAGACACGAAUCCAGGCCCUACGGGGUGCAGCAGGCGCGAAAACUUUACAAUGCUGGCAACAGCGAUAAGGGAACCUCGAGUGCCAGGUUACAAAUCUGGCUGUCGAGAUGCCUAAAAAGCAUUUCAUAGCAAGGGCCGGGCAAGACCGGUGCCAGCAGCCGCGGUAA